rnacentral:rRNA from 1 species
UACGGGGGGAGCAAGCGUUGUUCGGAUUUACUGGGCGUAAAGGGCGCGUAGGCGGCCACCGCAAGUCGACUGUGAAAUCUCCGGGCUUAACCCGGAAAGGUCAGCCGAUACCGCGGGGCUAGAGUGCAGAAGGGGCAACUGGAAUUCUCGGUGUAGCGGUGAAAUGCGUAGAUAUCGAGAGGAACACCAGUGGCGAAGGCGAGUCCCUGGACAACACCUGACACUGAGGCACGAAAGCUAGGGGAGCAAACAGG